rnacentral:misc_RNA from 1 species
GUCUGUUGUUGUUCCGAGAACAUCAAAUCUGUGCAGAAACCAAAAACAUGUACUAUACACGCCUACACUGCUACCUCGAGGGCUCGAGGCUCCAAGAAGAAAAUAGAUCUUCAUCUCCAUCAAUAUUCAAUACCUGUUGUGUGCCAGGGCGCCGUCGACCCUUGGCUGCACAAUUGUGAGCAGCACACGAUACGGCGGCACUGCCUAGCAUAUAUUGGUGAAGAAGAGAAACACGCCCAUGACAAUGCCGACGAUGAUGGCGGGCUCCGGCAACGCGCGCAAGGUGGCCGCAAGCUCGGCGCCGACCUCGCCCACGCGGACGAACACCUUGCCCUUCGUCCACAGCAUGUAAUCGAUGCUGACCUCGACAUUCACCAUGGCAGCAGCGGCGACCGUAUAUAUCGGCGAAGAAGAGGAAC